GGGGAAUUUUGCGCAAUGGGCGAAAGCCUGACGCAGCAACGCCGCGUGGGUGAUGAAGGUCUUCGGAUCGUAAAACCCUGUCGUCGGGGACGAAGGUAGCUUAGUGAACAACUGAGUUGCUUGACGGUACCCGGAGAGGAAGCCCCGGCUAACUCUGUGCCAGCAGCCGCGGUAAUACAGAGGGGGCAAGCGUUAUUCGGAAUUAUUGGGCGUAAAGGGCGCGUAGGCGGUUUUUUAAGUCAGAUGUGUAAUCCCCGAGCUCAACUUGGGAACUGCAUCUGAGACUGGAAGGCUAGAGUACUGGAGAGGGUGGUAGAAUUCCACGUGUAGCGGUGAAAUGCGUAGAGAUGUGGAGGAAUACCAGUGGCGAAGGCGGCCACCUGGACAGUAACUGACGCUGAGGCGCGAAAGUGUGGGUAGCAAAC
rnacentral:rRNA from 1 species